rnacentral:lncRNA from 1 species
AAAAAAAAAAAAAAAGCAAAACAAAACUAAAACAAAACAAAAUAAAAAGCAAAACAAAAAGCAAAACAAAACCAAAAACUUAUUGCACUCUCCAGGACCUUCAAAAAGACAAACCUGAAUCCUAAUUUAAGACGAGAAAGAGGAGGAGGAGGAAGAAGAAGAAGAAAAAGAUUCCAAUAAUUGAAGAUAAUCCGUAUAGUAAGAGCAGGAAGAAAAAUUAUAAACAAAAUAACCCUUCCUCAAUAAGAAUAACUUGAAGAUCUUUGAUUAAAAUGUUAUUAAAACCCAAAGUUCUAUAAAGACAAAUUGCUAGAAACAUAAAAAACAAUCCUCAGCUUAAUGUGGGGAUUGGCCAAAAUGACAAAGCCGUUGAUCACUGUUGUGGCUUCAGAAGAACUUUCCAGAACAGACUGUUUUUUGUUCCUCCUUCCUCAGAAAACAUGAUGUCCCUCAAAAAUGUUCCUCAGUGAGUCAGAAAUGUGGACCGCAGAGCUGGCUUCCUUUCAGGGUUCUCCAGUGGCAGCCCAGCUGGGACACACAGAAGUGAGACUCUGCUCGCCCCAGGGCAGCUUUUCUGGGCCACAGGAAACCAUUUUACAGUAUUUCCUAUGCUUUCGUCUGCAGCUGCCUAUGGUGUGAGCAGUGAAUCUGUUUCUUCUAACUUGCCACGUUGAUGUGUUCUCUCACCAGACUAAGGUCAUUGAUAAAAGCACAGCCAAGGGUGCGGUACUCAGAGGGUUUCUGAGCGCUGUUUGAAGGGGUUACGUAGCUAUGAUCUUGGUUAUCCCUAGCCAGUGGGAGCCCCGCUUUGGAUUAGUUAUUAGUGACUCUGCUUCAUAAAAGUGGUACAAAGAACAGGAUGUAAUCUGACAGUACCCUGGUACCUGUGUGAAGCAGGAAGGCGGGAUUAUCGCAGGGUGGAGACAUCAGGGACAGGAGUCCUGGAGAUAUUUGAUGGGGAAGAAAGAGUGGUCUGUGUGUCUGUAUCCCAGUGGGGUCAGAAAUCGUUCUCUCC